CUUUUAAUUCUAGAAUUAGAGUUCAUUUUCCUUAUAGACUUACAUAGUCUUUAAGGAAAAUAAACUUUUUCAAUCUCAUAUACAUUUUAUUAACCUUAACUAGGACGCAGUAGAAAAUGAAAGGGAUACUUUCAUUAAAAAGGGAGGCAUCAGGAUGAAUGAAAAUUAUGAGUUAAGAGACUUCUGUGAAGCAAAAGGCUUUCAAUUUCUAAUAAGAGUUAUUAGGAAGAUUUUCUUAGGCACACAGCCUCUCCACAAUCUGAUCACAUCAAGCCCUGCUUUACAUCCUCAGAGGCUCUUGUUGGCCAUUUACAGCAGGUUUCUUAACCUUUUUGAACAUGUGAAUCUUUUAGAAAUUAAAUAAUAAUGAUGACAUUGCCAUUUCUGAAUGGGUAUGU
rnacentral:lncRNA from 1 species